GCCGGUAGGGCUGCUGAGUAGGCUACUGCGAUAUAGUAGUUGUGGGGGGGAUGUCCUUCCGCCGGUA
rnacentral:tRNA from 1 species